AUAGUUGAAUGACAUUUUAUCUAACGUGGGAAGAAAUUGCGCAUUUGAUCAUUCGAGUGACUAAUAAUUUUUUUUAUAAUAGGCUUGUUUGGCAAACUUUCAUCUUUUUGCAUCUUUACUUUCGCCUCGUCGAAAACAUGCUCGAACCAUUCUCCGUUGAUUUUUUAUUAUUUUUUUGCAGAAAAAAUUCGGUUAUGUUAACAAGAUUCGAAUCAGGGAUGGGGAAACAACCAGGAGCAACAGAACUGAACAAAGAAUCGUUCUUAACGUGAUUUUUUUUCAAUUUCCUCAGAACGAGAACCGAGGCAAGAACCAAAAAGAUUCAGUAGCAAGAAUCCAAAAUAACCACAAAAAUAAAUUCAAUUUCAAGUUGAGACAUUUGGAAAAAAUUGAUUUCAACCUCAAACCUCUGGAUGAUGCGAUAAAUUGCUGAUUUGAUCGUCCAAAAAACUAGAAAUUUGCGAGUGCAAAAUAUCAAUUUUCGUCGUCGUUCUCAUGCUAGUAAAAAAUUAAUUUCAAGUGGAAA